rnacentral:rRNA from 1 species
UAGGGAAUCUUCGGCAAUGGACGGAAGUCUGACCGAGCAACGCCGCGUGAGUGAAGAAGGUUUUCGGAUCGUAAAGCUCUGUUGUAAGAGAAGAACGAGUGUGAGAGUGGAAAGUUCACACUGUGACGGUAUCUUACCAGAAAGGGACGGCUAACUACGUGCCAGCAGCCGCGGUAAUACGUAGGUCCCGAGCGUUGUCCGGAUUUAUUGGGCGUAAAGCGAGCGCAGGCGGUUAGAUAAGUCUGAAGUUAAGGGCUGUGGCUUAACCAUAGUAGGCUUUGGAAACUGUUUAACUUGAGUGCAAGAGGGGAGAGUGGAAUUCCAUGUGUAGCGGUGAAAUGCGUAGAUAUAUGGAGGAACACCGGUGGCGAAAGCGGCUCUCUGGCUUGUAACUGACGCCGAGGCUCGAAAGCGUGGGGAGCAAACAGGAUUAGAUACCCUGGUAGUCCACGCUGUAAACGAUGAGUGCUAGGUGUUAGACCCUUUCCGGGGUUUAGUGCCGUAGCUAACGCAUUAAGCACUCCGCCUGGGGAGUACGACCGCAAGGUUG